rnacentral:rRNA from 1 species
GAUGAACGCUGGCGGCGUGCCUAAUACAUGCAAGUCGAGCGAACAGACGAGGAGCUUGCUCCUCUGACGUUAGCGGCGGACGGGUGAGUAACACGUGGAUAACCUACCUAUAAGACUGGGAUAACUUCGGGAAACCGGAGCUAAUACCGGAUAACAUGUUGAACCGCAUGGUUCAACAGUGAAAGACGGUCUUGCUGUCACUUAUAGAUGGAUCCGCGCCACAUUAGCUAGUUGGUAAGGUAACGGCUUAUCAAGGCGACGAUGCGUAGCCGACCUGAGGGAGUGGUCGUCCACUCUGGAACUGAGACACGGUCCCGACUCCUACGGGAGGCAGCAGUAGGGAAUCUUCCGCAAUGGGCGAAAGCCUGACGGAGGAACCCCGCGUGAGUGAAGAAGGGCUUCGGAUCGUGAAACUCUGUUUUUAGGGAAGAACAAAUGUGUAAGUAACUAUGCACGUCUUGACGGUACCUAAUCAGAAAGCCACGGCUAACUACGUG